rnacentral:lncRNA from 1 species
AGUAAUGAGGAUGCCAUUGUAUCCUUCAAGCAGCCCUGGAGAGUUUAUCUCUGCAUGCUGGAGGAAUCUCAAGAGUCUUCAAACAUCCAUAUUAUGCUGAUGUCUUUUAAGGUGAUUCAACUCAGCAAGCCAGGGCUAGAGUAAGAGCCCCUUCUGGGAUGCUGUGACCCCCAAGUUUGAAGACUGCUGAUAACCCCAAUCUACGAAGACUAGCUAUGGAACUUCCUACACUGAGACAACUCCAGUGGAACUCUGAUAAUUAUCCUAAAAUAGGGAGGCUUCUUCAGUAGCCCUUGAAAUAUGUUCAAAUACGUGAUUACAUUUAUGUUCUUAAUAUCGAUAUUAGUUUCUGAUGUUAAUGUAAAAGUUGGGGAAAAAGUGGAAAAGUUAAAGCAGUGCAGGUUAAUUCAAUGCCAGAGUAACUUCUCAGAGGGUGUAUAUUCAGUGUGAACAAUUUUCAAUAGAGAAAUGUCAACUUCUGGCCACAACGGCAGCCAGUAAAAUAACUAUUUUACUGUCUUAUCUAUUAAUGAAGA